rnacentral:misc_RNA from 1 species
GAUGAAGAACGCAGCGAAAUGCGAUAAGUAAUGUGAAUUGCAGAAUUCCAGUGAGUCAUCGAAUCUUUGAACGCACAUUGCGCCCUUUGGUAUUCCGAAGGGCAUGCCUGUUCGAGCGUCAUUAUCACCCCUCAAGCCCUCGGCUUGGUGUUGGACGGUUUGGUGGAGGCCCCCUCGGGGGUUCCUGCCCCUCCCAAAGACAAUGACGGCGGCCUCGUUGGACCCCCGGUACACUGAGUUCUUCACGGGACACGUAUCGGACACAUGGGUUUACGGGACACGGUCUGCCUCCCCUCAGGGAGAAUCUUUCUAAGGUUGACCUCGGAUCAGGUAGGGAUACCCGCUGAACUUAAGCAUAUCAAUAAGCGGAGGA